UAUGAGGAAGUAAACUACAUUAAGAGAGAAAAACGCAAUGAAACCAUGGCCUCUAGAAUGAAUCUCUCUGAAGAACAUGACACACAGAUGAAGACAGUCAAGAGUCUGAUUCAGCGUUUUGAAUCAGAUUUACCUGAACACAUGGAUGUGUCUGUGAGGAAAAACCCAGGGAUGGAUGUUUCAGAUCUCUACAGAGAGGAAGACACUUCUGUUGAGUCCAG